rnacentral:rRNA from 1 species
GAUGAACGCUGGCGGCGUGCUUAGCACAUGCAAGUCGAACGAAGCGAUUUAGCGGAAGUUUUCGGAUGGAAGCUAGAUUGACUGAGUGGCGGACGGGUGAGUAACGCGUGGGUAACCUGCCUCACACUGGGGGACAACAGUUAGAAAUGACUGCUAAUACCGCAUAAGCGCACAGGACCGCAUGGUCCGGUGUGAAAAACUCCGGUGGUGUGAGAUGGACCCGCGUUUGAUUAGCUAGUUGGUGGGGUAACGGCCUACCAAGGCGACGAUCAAUAGCCGACCUGAGAGGGUGACCGGCCACAUUGGGACUGAGACACGGCCCAAACUCCUACGGGAGGCAGCAGUGGGGAAUAUUGCACAAUGGGGGAAACCCUGAUGCAGCGACGCCGCGUGAGUGAAGAAGUAUUUCGGUAUGUGAAGCUCUAUCAGCAGGGAAGAAAAUGACGGUA